UACGUAGGGUGCGAGCGUUGUCCGGAAUUAUUGGGCGUAAAGGGCUCGUAGGCGGUCUGUCGCGUCGGGAGUGAAAACUCGGGGCUUAACUCCGAGCCUGCUUCUGAUACGGGCAGACUAGAGGUAUGCAGGGGAGAAUGGAAUUCCUGGUGUAGCGGUGAAAUGCGCAGAUAUCAGGAGGAACACCGGUGGCGAAGGCGGUUCUCUGGGCAUUACCUGACGCUGAGGAGCGAAAGCCAGGGGAGCAAACGGG
rnacentral:rRNA from 1 species